UAGGGAAUCUUCGGCAAUGGACGAAAGUCUGACCCGAGCAACGCCGCGUGAGUGAAGAAGGUUUUCGGAUCGUAAAACUCUGUUGGUAGAGAAGAACGUUGGUGAGAGUGGAAAGCUCAUCAAGUGACGGUAACUACCCAGAAAGGGACGGCUAACUACGUGCCAGCAGCCGCGGUAAUACGUAGGUCCCGAGCGUUGUCCGGAUUUAUUGGGCGUAAAGCGAGCGCAGGUGGUUUAUUAAGUCUGGUGUAAAAGGCAGUGGCUCAACCAUUGUAUGCAUUGGAAACUGGUAGACUUGAGUGCAGGAGAGGAGAGUGGAAUUCCAUGUGUAGCGGUGAAAUGCGUAGAUAUAUGGAGGAACACCGGUGGCGAAAGCGGCUCUCUGGCCUGUAACUGACACUGAGGCUCGAAAGCGUGGGGAGCAAA
rnacentral:rRNA from 1 species